rnacentral:lncRNA from 1 species
CUGAAGGUAACCUGAGCCUACAGGACACCAGAUCACCAAGGGGGCCUGCGCCUCCUUCUCUAUAUCGGCAGGUACAAUGGAACCUGCUGCAAGUGCUAUUCACCGUAGGAUGUUCUGCAUCGCCCAAGGGUGCAAACUAGAGAGGAUCCUGACUGGCUGGCACCACAAUGCUCCACAGCAGGUCUGCUUAAUGCAUCCUCAGGACAAUGCUGCCAUCCAUGGACAGCCUUUACACCCAGCCUUGGAGGAGAAAGGCCACGAGGAUCAUUAAAGAGCCCAGCCACAAAUAAUUUGGCCUAUCUGGCUGUCAGCGCUCUAAAAAUAGGCCCUGCACCAACAGACUCAGUGUGUUUAGCUACAUUUGCAUAUAGUUCUAAUUGUAUAUUUCUUCAGCGAAUAAUUUUAAUUUACGGUAAUAGAAGUGUUUUAUUUUAUUUUUUUACUGUAGUUUACUACCUAAUUUAUCAACGGUUUUCCUUGUUUAGAUGAGUCUUAUUAGGACAAGCUUAUCUCUUAGGCAUUUCAUACAAGUGACGCAUCAAUCUUCAGCCUUUUCAGAGUGCAAAACAAGUAGAAAACAACACAGUAGAAAAUGAAAAUAAAUCACCUUUACAUGUUUAUCCCACAUGAAUACACCAGUGCAACAGUCAGGGAACUUUUUUGAAUUAGCAUCCAGCCAAAGUUUAUCUGUUGUUAGCAUUGAUUAGCAUGUCAAAGCUGCGCUGAUGGUUGCAUUAAAGAUCCCGUCUGCCUCUGCACGAGUCGUCUCCUCUCACGUUGCUGUUAACCAAGUCAAUCAACUUGUCCCUGAAGUGAAAGCUGUCAUGUCCCACAUGCGUUCCUGCAUAGAUAAAGAAAAUUCGCCAACUGAGAGAGGAAUAGCAAACAGGAGCUAUGUGAAGUAUGACGUCGUAAUUUAAAAAGAAUCAUGUCAUCAAAUGUCACUAAGAGCCAAAAGCUGUUUUUGUUACGACUGAGAAUUUUACAUGUCAUAAUAUCAGUAUUGGAAUCAUCUACUAACAUCCUCAUGCCGACGAUAAAAAAGGAGGAAGAGUUGAACAGAUUUGUGCAGCAGAGUGGAAGGAGUGGCCCUAUGGUUUGGCCUCAUGGAAAC